rnacentral:rRNA from 1 species
UACGGAGGGUGCAAGCGUUGUCCGGAAUUAUUGGGCGUAAAGAGCUCGUAGGCGGCUUGUUGCGUCGACUGUGAAAACCCGCGGCUUAACCGCGGGCUUGCAGUUGAUACGGGCAGGCUAGAGUUCGGUAGGGGAGACUGGAAUUCCUGGUGUAGCGGUGAAAUGCGCAGAUAUCAGGAGGAACACCGGUGGCGAAGGCGGGUCUCUGGGCCGAUACUGACGCUGAGGAGCGAAAGCGUGGGGAGCGAACAGG